GUUGCAAAUUAUGAUAUAAAUAAAUGCUAAAAUUGGUAUCGUUUUUUAUUUGCUGAAAAUUUUUGACAUACUAAAAGGAGAUUUCCAUUGGUAAAAUGCUAAAAUGCUAUUUAGAUAUAUGUAUUUAUUUUUAAAAACUCAAGCCUUUCAUCAUAUAUUUUACAAACUUGCGGAUUAUUAAGAUCAAUAAUUUUGUGACAGACUUUAAGAAUUUCAAGAAUUACUUUGUCGAACAGGCAUUUUAAAUCAAGAACUUUCUUCAAACUAAGAUAACAAACUCUAUUGGUGGUCAAAAGUUAAUUUUUAUCUUGGAAUUUUUUUUAAAAAUUCAACACAGGUUCCAGCGAAAAUGCCAAUAUCUAUGAUAAGAAAAUGGUCAUCAUCAGUUAAUGAAAUGGAUUUCUGGAGAAUUUUGAUGUUAUGCGGAUAAUUGGAUUCCCACAACAUAUUUCCAGUUACAUAUUUUGCAAAUUUAUUGUGUCGUCGCUCGCUCAUCGAUGUUUUAGCUUUGCCGCUCUCAACAGUCGUUCGCUUAUCACAAGUUCUCUCUGUUUUUAUUUUACUCACAGCAAGAAUCAAGAAUAACCGAAAAUAGAAUAAGUAUAAGAAAAACAAAUGCUAGUAGUGGUAGCAAAUUGUCAAAAACGGAAGUGGAAAUGUAUGCGGGCAAUUUUUAAAAGGCGCUAUUUUUUCUACUUUAUACUCGAUAUGCAGCAUUAUUGUACUAUAAAAACAAGUAUAAAUUUAGACUCGGCAUUGCCGACCAUAUUCUAUGGACUAUUCUAUAGACUAGUCAAUUGGCAAUUCCAUUGAUAAGACUAUAUUUUAGUCGAUCGGUUAAUCGGUAAAUUUUUGACUAUUAAUCGCUCGAAUAAAUGAAAAUUGCCAAACUUCAAAUAACGAAUAAACCGAAUAAUUUAUAUCAAU